CUACAGGAAGAAAACAGCGGCUCAGAGAGGAACUUGAAAACUAGAUUCCUGGAUUCUCAAUGAGCUGAGAAGGCUAAGGACAGAGGCACGACCUCAAACUGAAAGUGAGAAAAAGUGAGCUGUGCUUUCCCUAUUCUCAGCCUCAGACGUCACGCCCACAAACCGUUGGCUAAACAUCUGAUACAUAUGGCACACAAAAGUGGAAACACUUCAAG